UGAACCAAUGAGAAGACAGAUGAAAUGAUAG
rnacentral:piRNA from 1 species